UUACUCAGAUGCAAGGUGAAAUACAGAACAUGAGGAAAUGGGACCGGCGGAGACAUAGCCGAGAUGGAGCGUUUCCAAAAUGGACUCCCUUCAGUUCCCCUACGUCAAUGCCUUGAAGGAUUACAAAAUGAUAAAUGAAGAAAAAAACAUGAAAGCAUCCAGACAGUAAGAAACAGAAGUUCAGAGAAAGGACUAAGGCCAUUAGGAAAAGGUAAAAAAACCGUUCAGGUGUCACCGAAUGAACACAAACCUGAGAGUUUUCUGCUCUGGGUGCCCCUUCCAACAGCUGUGACAAUGGACUUCUUCGGACCUCAGUUUCCUCAACUACAAAUCAAAGACAUGGACAGACGGUAUCUAAAUCUAGUAUUCUAGUCUGAAAAUUAAAGGAGAGUACAUUAUAAAUAUUUUAUAGAGGCUAUUUGUGAUUAUGAACUCAUGCAUAAUUUCCUAGAGCUUUUUGACUGAAUAUUCUAGGACUAUAAAAGUAUUCUGGAGAAAUGUGCCAAAGCAGCUGGAAAAAAUUCAAUUAUUAGUUUAGCGUCAAUUUUUCUCCCUCCAUUUCUACAUUAUAUUAUUCUCAUCCAGUGAAGCAUUUUGUUGACACAGAAAACACAAAUACGUUGUGAUUAUUAAGUUAACUUUCAUUAAUAGAGUACUUACGUUAAUAGCAUUUCCAAGUAAUUUUUCUUGUCUACAAACAAAAUGCCUUAUUUUUUUCCCCAAUGAUUGCACCUUUUUGAUGAUAACUUGAGGCUUGCCUACUCUAUAUGCUAGUGUCAAACACAAAACCAGCUUUGGGUAUGCGUGAACGAUUUCACUGCAUGUUCUAAAUAUCUUCUGAAAAUGGCACUUUUUUUUUUAUUAUGAGCAGCAGAAUUAUGCCUCACCAUGUGGCCUUAUUUGAGAUUAUAUUAUUAAAUGUGGCAUGAGAGCUGAAAUACGAAGUGAAACUUGUAUGAUUUCUAACUGCCUUUCCAAUAAAAGCAGCAGGGUGCUAUUAAGAAAUCCCAUUUUGAAAGUAUAUAUUUGCAGAAGAAAUAAGGCUUCAGUUCUCAUUCUCUAUAGGCAACUCUACAUAGGCAAGCUGCGAGGUUUCUUCCAUGUCAUUACCAUUGGUUUUUUCUUCUGAUUUAUAGAAUUUCACUAUCUCCUAGGGACGCACCAGGCUCUAAAUAGCUCUGCUUCAUUAGAAACUCUUUCUUUGGACUCUACUUCUCAAGAUUAGAAACAGCCCUUUUUUAUAGUUCUGUGAAUGGUACCGUUUGAAACAUACAAUGUUCUUGUUCUUGUUUUUUCUUCUGGAAGCCUAUACCUUCCACUAUAGUGUUUUUGAAAUAACAUUACAGCUUUCUAAUAUAUUUGUGACUAUUUGAGUUUUAAAUGGGGACAAACAUUGGAUUAAAUAUUAACUUGCGCCUGAAUGUACUAUGGAAUCGUGGAUGCACGCUGACCACAAAUUUGUCAUUACUAUUCAGUGUAGCACAUUCACUUUGUGUCAUAAGGUAUACCAGUUAGACUUUAGGAUUUUCGAAGGAUCUUAUUUACUCUGUAGCAUUCAUAGCUCUUCUCUUUAGAAAGCUUAAGGAGUCGUGGCAGAUAACAAAAUGCCUAUUUUUCAGGGAGGAAGGCAGAGUUGAUUUGAGAUAAAAUAGAACUCCCUGAUGCUGAUUUGCUUUGUGAAAGAUGCAAUUGGAUUCAAAUAUCUCUAAUGAGCAGCUAUGUUGUCUCUGCUUAUUUCAACCUAAUAUCAUAUUUUUUGUUGUUUUCUUAACUGUGAUUUUCUAUAAAGAUAAAAACAUAUAGAUAUUAAUAGAGCAGAGAUCUGUGUAAUCAUCACCCAGAUUUAAUUAGUACAAUUAGUAUUACAUUAGUAUUCCAUCUAUUAUAUUAGUAUUAUAUUAGUAUUUCCAUCUAUUACAAAAAAGCUUUAUACAUAUACUGCAGAAAAUCUAUUCCCACCCCCAUCACAUUCCCUCCUAUCUGUUGCCAGAGAUGCUGAGUGAAUGGGUGUCUCUCCAUUUAUGGUUUUAUUUAUUUUUUUAAUCUUGACUUAUUUUUGAGAGAGAGACAGACAGAGUGUGAUCAGGGGAAGUGCAGAGAGAGAAGGAGACACAGAAUCCAAAGCAGGCUCCAGGCUCCGAGCUGUCAGCACAGAGCCCAAGGCGGGGCUCGAACUCAUGGACCGUGAGAUCGUGACCUGAGCUGAAGUCAGACGCUUAACCGACUGAGCCACCCAGACACCCCAGUCAUUUAUGGUUUUAUAUAUAACAUAUAUAUAAUAUGUAUUGUCACUAUAAACAUAUUGUCACUAAUACAGGAGGAACAUAACACUGUCAGAUCACUUUGCAACAUGCUUUUUAUUCACUUAAAAUUAUGUAUUUUGGGGUGCCUGUGUGGCUCAGUCGCUUGAACACCUGAUUCUUUUCAGCUCGGGUCAGGUUCAGAUCUCAUGGUUGAUGAGAUCGAGCCCUGUGUCGAGCUCUGCACUGACAAUGCAGAGCCUGUUUGGGAUUCUCUCUCUCCCUCUCUCUUUCUGCCCUUCCCUCAGUCUCUUUCUCUCUCUCUCAAAAUAAAUACACGUAAAGAUAUGUAUUUGAAGUUUACUGAUUUUAAUAAAUGUACCCUUUACUCAUUUUUGUUUAAUCCAUUGUGUGACCAUACUCAAUUUAUUUACCCAUUCUUCAGUAAUGAAUGUUUUCAUUGCUUCCAGAAUUUUACUACUAAAAAUAAUACCGACUGGAGGUUUUUAUGUGGCUCUCCUAAAAUGGGUAAACCUGAUUUCCUCUAGUGUGUAUUUUCUCCAUUUGAGGAACUCCGGGGUCAGUGGGUCAUUACUUUCUGCUUCUAAAGCUUAUAAAUGCGUGUGAUAAACAAAAAGGGGCAUGCACAGUUUUGCCUUAACAACAUAUCGUCUUCUGCGUCAUUGCCGAAUCAAUCAGUAAAUGAAUAAUUAAUUUUGAAUAACUUACUAGUAGGGAGAUAGUAAACUUUUCUGAGGCAAAUUGUAAAGCAUUCCUCUCUGUGGUUGCAAUUAAGGUUCUUUCUUUUUGAAUAAUGUCCUUUCGUCUUGCUUCAUAAAUGAAUAAAAAAGAGUGAGGUUUUGAAGCGUCAUGGACCUAACCUGCACUCCAGCUAAUGAAAAUGUGUUCACUGCUUUAAAAGUUUUUUUUUUAAUGUUUAUUUUUGAGAGAGACAGAGACAGAACAUGAGUGGGGGAGGGGCAGAGAAAGAGAGAGACACAGAAUCCGAAGCAGGCUCCAGGCUCUGAGCUGUGAGCACAGAGCCCGACGUAGGGCUUGAACUCACUAACCACGAGAUCAUGACCUGAGCCGAAGUCGGACGCCCAACCGACUGAGCCACCCAGGCGCCCCUCUUCACUGCUUUUUAGAACCACAUAGUUCCUAAUGCCUCUUCCUAACACAUGACUCUUACAAGCAGUUGCCUCAUUGUACUUACCUUACAUGUGUAGAGGAUAAAAAACAUGCAGAGAGGAGGAAAAGGACAUAGCUUUUUCUAAGGUUAGCAUCCUCCCUAACAAGAAACUGUUUAGGACGUUCAGCCUGGACAUCAGAAAGGUGGAUACCUGAGGAGCCCCUGGGUGGCUCAGUCGAUUAAGCAUCAGACUCUUGAUUUCAGUUCAGGUCAUGAUCUCACCGUUUGGGAGGUUUGUGAGUU